rnacentral:rRNA from 1 species
CCUACGGGAGGCAGCAGUGAGGAAUAUUGGUCAAUGGGCGGAAGCCUGAACCAGCCAAGUAGCGUGCAGGAUGACGGCCCUACGGGUUGUAAACUGCUUUUAUACGGGAAUAAAACAGGGUAUGCAUACCCUCUUGUAUUUACCAUAUGAAUAAGGAUCGGCUAACUCCGUGCCAGCAGCCGCGGUAAUACGGAGGAUCCGAGCGUUAUCCGGAUUUAUUGGGUUUAAAGGGAGCGUAGGUGGAUUGUUAAGUCAGCGGUAAAAUUGCGGGGCUCAACCCCGUCGAGCCGUUGAAACUGGCAGACUUGAGUUGGCGAGAAGUACGCGGAAUGCGCGGUGUAGCGGUGAAAUGCAUAGAUAUCGCGCAGAACUCCGAUUGCGAAGGCAGCGUACCGGCGCCAGACUGACGCUGAGGCACGAAAGCGUGGGGAUCGAACAGGAUUAGAUACCCCAGUAGUC